UACGGAGGGCGCAAGCGUUACUCGGAAUCACUGGGCGUAAAGAGCGUGUAGGCGGACUAAUAAGUCAGAAGUGAAAUCCAAUAGCUUAACUAUUGAACUGCAUUUGAAACUGUUGGUCUAGAGUGUGGGAGAGGUAGAUGGAAUUUCUGGUGUAGGGGUAAAAUCCGUAGAUAUCAGAAGGAUACCGAUUGCGGAGGCGAUCUACUGGAACAUAACUGACGCUGAGACGCGAAAGCGUGGGGAGCAAACAGG
rnacentral:rRNA from 1 species